GGCCCUGUAGCAAAAACCAGGUAAAGCGGCAGAUUCAAAAUCUGUGUCAUUUGUGGGUUCGAAUCCCACCAGGGUUACCA
rnacentral:tRNA from 1 species